rnacentral:rRNA from 1 species
CAAAUUUAAAAUCUACCUGGUUUCCAGGUCGAGUUGUAAUUUGAAGAUACGUUUUUGACGUUCCGGGUUGAACUAAAUCCUUUGGGAUAAGGUAUCAUGGAGGGUGAGAAUCCCGUAUAUACCAACCRUAGGGAUGUUAUUUAAUACGUUUCUAAGARUCSAGUUGUUUGGGAAUGCAGCUCUAAAUGGGUGGUAAAUUUCACCUAAUGCUAAAUAUAAGCGAGAGACCGAUAGCGAACAAGUACAGUGAUGGAAAGAUGAAAAGAACUUUGAAAAGAGAGUUAAAUAGUAYGUGAAAUUGUUGAAAGGGAAACGAUUGAAGUCAGUCAUGCCRGUGGGAAUCAACUUWGAGGAAACUCUGAGUGCACUUCUUCSCUUGGCAGGUCAACGUCSAUUUUGGAUGUCAUAAAAUGAUUGGGGGAAGGUAGCUCCUUCGGGAGUGUUAUAGCCCUUGGUAGAUGUGAUGUCUGGGAUCGAGGAUUGCAAUGGAUACCCUUUGGGGCUAGCCGCCUGAUCUCUAAUYGGUAUUGGGUUACGGAUAGCAUGC